CCGGCCGAGCCCUGCGCCGCCCGGCUCCCGGCGGUGCCGCCGCCGUGAUUCAGCGGCGCUGCCUGAUCGGCCGGAGGAGGAGAUACGCGCUGGCAGGAAACAUCUGUCACCCGCCGGUGCGCCCUGUGCCUCCCCUUCCACCUGCGUGGAACCGCAGGGGUUAACAUCUGCGUUGUGAAAACUUCGCAUCUCUGACUUCUGAUUAAUCAUGCCUAAACAAUUUGAUGAAGUGCAGGCACUCAGGUUCAUGGAGAUGCUACUUGAGAGAUCUUCUGCUCUGCCUGGCCUGGAUGAAGAAGUGUCUGAUGGCAGAAGCAUCACGGGUUGCUGGAGUGAAAGCCUGCUAGCUGAGCAAAGCCCAGUUUGGACACACGCCCAGUGGCAUGAGGCACUGAGGGAAGAUUACUCCCACUCGUUUGUUGGGCAAGAGCUUGUGGCCUUCAGAUCCCAGUGCUGUGUGCUGUAGUGAUUCCAGAGGAGAAACAAAGCUCAGCUCUUCUCAGAAAAAAGGAAAAAUGUAGGAAGGGAGGACUAGAGGACUAGAGGAUUCUGUGUCAAGAAUGUACAGAACUCAUGUUUGGAGCCUGUAUACCUGCAGUCCUUGUCACACUGCUUGUGAUCCUCCCAGUGCUGCCUUCACCCACGAGUAUGGGAUUCCUAUGCUGCAGACAGAUGGAUUUUUCUCUGAAAUAUUAUAUUUUGAAAUUAUUCCAUGGGCUUUAAGGAGAUCCUCAUAAGCACCUCUGCAGAGUAACUACUCGCUGAGUAGCCUGAGGGCUCCUUGCAGAGCAGGCAUGUUUCUAAGCUCUGGAAGAGAGCUCAAGCUCCCCAGGGACCAUACCAAGGGAAUUUAUUUGGCUGUCACCAUGUGCCUGACUAGACACGGCCUUAGGUACUCUCCUGUGAGUAAGCAGCCUUGAUCUCUACCUUUGGUCUUAGUGAUUGAUGGCAUUAAGUUAUAGGAUGAGCCUAUCUCCUCAGUGACAGAUUGAUUUGGCACACCCUGACAAUCUUUUUCUCAUGCACUUUUGUCAAGGAGAAGAGCCAUCCUUUGAGCACCUUUUGGGCUAUAAAUCUCUCAUUGGUGAGGCAGCAGAAGCCUCACCAUCACCUGGGCUUUCAGCUCAAAACAGUUCCUUGACACCCCUGUGCCAAAGCCAGGGGGGAACAGUCCCACUGUCCCUGCCCAGGCUGCAUCAGAGAUUCGAUAAGUGGUGAUACCUUCCCUUUGUGAUCACCUCAUCCCAGCAUUGUGCCUCCAGCAGCACCCUCUCUGUUCUGAAGCAGCACUCCUGGCUCGCCAGGCAACCAACCUCAGCUUUCCAGCAGCUAGAUCAAGAGCAGAGAGAAGCAACAAAUUCAAGUAAUAAAUAACUGGGGAAAACCGAGCA
rnacentral:lncRNA from 1 species